UUGGAAUGAAGUGAAAGACCCAUUGUGUUGAUUGUCUUCAUCAUUUCAACACUAAAUGGUAUAGUUUAGCUAUUUAGUUCCCUAUAUCGUAAAUCUGGUGUGUGUGUGUGUGUGUGUGUGUGUGAUGAUGGAUGAGGAAAUUUCAGCUUUAGGAAUCUCAGCUAAGAUUCCACGUCCUAA